AAUAAGUGUGAUUUUAGCACUGUUCAUAUCCAACGUUUGAUCGUUUGUCUUAUUAAAAAAAAAUGAUAAAACAUAAAUAGUAUUUUAUGUGUGACUAAUUUUUUUAAUAUUUUUCAUAAUUUUUUCAAAUAAGACGGAUGGUCAAAACGCUCAGUACGUAUAUCUAUGGCUGCACUUAUU
rfam:Oryza sativa Japonica Group DNA, chromosome 7, cultivar: Nipponbare, complete sequence.